rnacentral:rRNA from 1 species
CAGCAGCCACGGUAAUACGGAGGGUGCAAGCGUUAAUCGGAAUUACUGGGCGUAAAGCGCACGCAGGCGGUCUGUCAAGUCAGAUGUGAAAUCCCCGGGCUUAACCUGGGAACUGCAUUUGAAACUGGCAGGCUAGAGUCUUGUAGAGGGGGGUAGAAUUCCAGGUGUAGCGGUGAAAUGCGUAGAGAUCUGGAGGAAUACCGGUGGCGAAGGCGGCCCCCUGGACAAAGACUGACGCUCAGGUGCGAAAGCGUGGGGAGCAAACAGGAUUAGAGACCCCAGUAGUCCCUGUCUCUUAUAC